rnacentral:rRNA from 1 species
UACGAAGGGGGCUAGCGUUGUUCGGAAUUACUGGGCGUAAAGGGCGCGUAGGCGGUGUGUCAAGUCAGGCGUGAAAGCCCCGGGCUCAACCUGGGAACCGCGCUUGAGACUGGCACGCUAGAGUUCGGGAGAGGAUGGUGGAAUUCUCGGUGUAGCGGUGAAAUGCGCAGAUAUCGGGUGGAACACCAGUGGCGAAGGCGGUGCUCUGGGCCGGAACUGACGCUGAAUGGCGAAAGCGUGGGUAGCAAACAGG